rnacentral:rRNA from 1 species
AUUGAACGCUGGCGGCAGGCCUAACACAUGCAAGUCGAGCGAGCGGCGGACGGGUGAGUAAUGUCUGGGAAACUGCCUGAUGGAGGGGGAUAAAUACUGGAAACGGUAGCUAAUACCGCAUACCAUCGGAUGUGCCCAGAUGGGAUUAGCUAGUAGGUGGGGUAACGGCUCACCUGGGCGACGAUGCCUAGCGGGUCUGAGAGGAUGACCAGCCACACUGGAACUGAGACACGGUCCAGAUUCCUACGGGAGGCAGCAGUGGGGAAUAUUGCACAAUGGGCGCAAGCCUGAUGCAGCCAUGCCGCGUGUAUGAAGAAGGCCUUCGGGUUGCAAAGUACUUUCAGCGGGGAGGCGUUACCCGCAGAAGAAGCACCGGCUAACUCCGUGCCAGCAGCCGCGGUAAUAC